CAGCGCCACGAGUGGGAACCACGAUUAUUGGGUCUAAAGCAUCCGUAGCCGGCUUGAUAAAUGCUCUGUGAAAUCGUUACGCUCAACGUAACGGCGUGCAGGGUAGACUGUCAAACUAGGGACCAGGGGAGGAAAACGGUAUUCCAGAGGGAGCGGUAAAAUGUGAUAAUCUCUGGAGGACCACCAAUGGCGAAGGCAGUUUUCCAAAAUGGAUCCGACGGUGAGGGACGAAGGCCAGGGGAGCGAACCGGAUUAGAUACCCGAGUAGUCC
rnacentral:rRNA from 1 species